rnacentral:lncRNA from 1 species
UUAAAAUUUGUUAAAGAGGUAUCAGUGUGACUGGUUUUUAAAAAAUAAUAUUAUUCAAACUUUUUUUAGUUUAUUCUUUUUUUAUAAGUUCAAUGGUGUUGUGAAUGAAAAGAACACUAUAUAACUAUCAGCGUCAGAAUCGCACCUCUAUAUACAUCUGCAUUAAGAAGGCAAAAAUCCAAUGCACGAGUACUGAACCACGUCACGAUUCAUACGUUAUGACUUUAGAAAAGUAUACUACUGUUGCCUUUAUACGACCAAAAGGAACACAAUAGCAUAAUGACAAUACCGCAUACGAUAAACAUCUUGUAAAAUAUAAAUGCAGGGGUAUACCAUACCAUCGAAUAAAUGAGGGCACAG